GACGAACGCUGGCGGCGUGCUUAACACAUGCAAGUCGUACGGUAAGGCCCUUUCGGGGGUACACGAGUGGCGAACGGGUGAGUAACACGUGAGUAACCUGCCCACAACUUUGGGAUAACGCUAGGAAACUGGUGCUAAUACUGGAUAUGUGCUCCUGCUGCAUGGUGGGGGUUGGAAAGCUCCGGCGGUUGUGGAUGGACUCGCGGCCUAUCAGCUUGUUGGUGGGGUAGUGGCCUACCAAGGCGGCGACGGGUAGCCGGCCUGAGAGGGUGACCGGCCACAUUGGGACUGAGAUACGGCCCAGACUCCUACGGGAGGCAGCAGUGGGGAAUAUUGCACAAUGGGCGCAAGCCUGAUGCAGCAGCGCCGCGGGCGGGAUGACGGCCUUCGGGUUGUAAACCGCUUUCAGCAGGGACGAAGCUUUUUGUGACGGUACCUGCAGAAGAAGCACCGGCUAACUACGUG
rnacentral:rRNA from 1 species